UAAUACGAGGGGGGCGAAUGUUGUUCGGAAUCACUGGGCGUAAAGGGAGCGUAGGCGGGUUCUUAAGUAAGAUGUUUAAUCCCGGGGCCCAACCCCGGACCGGCAUUUUAAACUGGGAAUCUUGAAUAGUGGAGAGGUCGGUGGAAUUGGAGGUGUAGCGGUGGAAUGCGUAGAGAUCUCCAAGAACACCAGUUGCGAAGGCGGCCGACUGGACACAUAUUGACGCUGAGGCUCGAAAGCAUGGGGAGCAAACAGG
rnacentral:rRNA from 1 species